GGUCGAGCGCGCCGUGACGUCGGAGGCCCAUGGCGGCGGCGGCGGCGGCGGCGCGAGAAGCCUGGCAGGCGGCAUCUCCGCGGAGACGGCGCUCGGCGGCUCGGCGUCCGAAGCGGAGGGAGGCUGCGGCGGCCGCCGGGACCCCGGGAGCCGAGCCCGAGGUGGAGGGCGGAGUCGUGCUUCGUCGCAUCCAGGAGGCCAAGGAGGACCUGGUUAUCUCUGACUUCUGGAGCUCAGCACUAGAAACCAUCACCGGGUGUCUCCAGAAACACCUGGAGCAGCUGAGGGCCCCCGAGGGGCCUCUCUCGGAAGCCCUGGGACACCUGCAUCUCGACGCCCCCCUGGUGGAGGCAGACGCAGCCCCUGGCCCCGUCCCGGAAGAGACCCUGGUCCCAGGGACCUGCUGCCUCAAGUGUGUGUGUUACGGCGUCGGGAACUUCGCCAGCUGCUCCACAGCUAGAAGCCAGCUGGCGUUUUUGCUUCUGCUUCUGGAGCGGUGCCAGGUUCCCAGGAGUCACUGCUGGGUGUACGACCCUCUGUUCAGUCAGCUAGAAGUCGCGGUUCUCAGCGCCCUGGGCCUGGUGGUUCUCAGGGAGAACGAGGAAGGGAAGCGGAGCGUGUGCGGGGAGCCCACCGUCUUCUACAUGCCGCACUGCGGGACGGCACUCUAUAACAACCUGCUGUGGAGGAACUGGUCGGUGGACGCCCUCUCCAAGGUGGUCAUCAUCGGCAACAGCUUCAGGGGGCUCGAGGAGAGGUUGUUGACAAGGAUUCUGCAUAAACAUUACCCAUACGUUGCAAAGAUUCUGACAGGCCUGGAGGAGGUGGUGUUCCCUCAGACCCCAAGGUACAUGGACGUAUUUAACGAUACCUCCGUCCACUGGUUUCCUGUGCAAAAGCUAACCCAGCUGCCCACGGACACUUGGGCGUUUCGGGAAGAGCCAGAUUACCAGGACUGUGAGGACCUCGAGAUCAUCAGGAAGAAGACAGGGGAGCCUCCCGCGCUGACCUGAGCUGGCUGUGAGGGGAUGCGGGGCGCCCUCAGAGAGCAGGGAGCACACUGGCUCUGAUGCAGACACCGUUUAUUCCCCGGCGCACCCCCAGCAGGCGCGGCCUACUUGGCCAUGUCGAUGAGGCUCUGCAGCGAGGUGGGCACCCAGGUCUUCUCGCCCUGCACGAACACCACGCCCCGGUCGAUGUAGAUGACGAUGCGGCCGAAGGUGUACAGCUGCUUGCCCUCGUGCCGCUUCCCGAUGACCGGCAUGAAGACGAUGUUGUGCUCCUCGGCCUUGGUCUCGAUGAGGUCCUUGAAGUUCAUGGGCACGGCGCUGGCAGCCACGCCGAUGCCCCGCUGGGCCAUGUUCUCAGCCUCGCGCCGCUCCUGCAUGGCCUCGUAUUGGAAGUCCUUCCUCCGCUCCGUGUGCGUGAGGACAGACGACGGGUCAACUCCUAAGUGUUAGAGGGGCCACCCCGCUCCGGCCGGGCAGAUGCUCCGAGGAGCUGCCAGCACAGUGAUGACGAGGUGGGCCCGGCUGACGUGCGCCUUGUUCGUGGACAGCGCUCCUCUCGGCCGCAGGAGCCGGGGGGCAGCUGCGGGCUAAGUGACUAUGUGGAUGGGCCGCGUCCUUGAGCCCACAGGGCCUGAGCUCUGACUCAGUGUGGGCCACUCACCGACGUUGGAGGACACCGCCCUGUUCAUGAUGUCAAGAGCCUCGUUGAACUUGUCCUUGACAGACGGGUGCGCCAGCACUUGGUCCGAGAACAUGGACUUCCAGCCCAGGUACCACUUGGUGAUCUCCUCGUAAUUGGGGCUGUUGCUCAGCCAGGAGCACAGCACCUGCCCAGAGGACACAGGUGAGGAGCCGAGUCCGCUGCGGCAGCAGGUGGGAGCACAGCUUCCACUUGCUCAUCUGGGUCCUGGGCUACAAGCUGGUGACACUUGCAGGGUUUGAGGGGCUGAAGGGGGUCAGCUCAGCAGCGCAGGGCCCUGCACGUAGACGCUGUGUUUUGGCCUCCCACCCCCACCCCCACCCUCGGGCUGCUCUGAGGAUCGGGGAUGACGGAGGCUGGGUGCUCGGCCCCUGUGGCAAGUGCUCAAUAAAGGGUGUGCACUGUG